UACGGAGGAUGCAAGCGUUAUCCGGAAUGAUCGGGCGUAAAGCGUCCGCAGGUGGCUGUGUAAGUCUGCUGUCAAAGAGCGAAGCUCAACUUCGUAAAGGCAGUGGAAACUACACGGCUAGAGUGCGUUCGGGGCAGAGGGAAUUCCUGGUGUAGCGGUGAAAUGCGUAGAGAUCAGGAAGAACACCAGUGGCGAAGGCGCUCUGCUAGGCCGUAACUGACACUGAGGGACGAAAGCUAGGGGAGCGAAUGGG
rnacentral:rRNA from 1 species